CCUACGGGUGGCAGCAGUAGGGAAUCUUCCACAAUGGGCGAAAGCCUGAUGCAGCAACGCCGCGUGGGUGAAGAAGGUCUUCGGAUCGUAAAACCCUGUCGUCAGAGAAGAAAAUGCGUGAGAGUAACUGUUCACGUUUCGACGGCUUCUUACCAGCAAGCCCCGGCUAACUACGUGCCAGCAGCCGCGGUAAUACGAAGGUGGCAAGCGUUAUCCGGAUUUAUUGGGCGUAAGGGGAACGUAGGCGGUCUUUUAAGUCUGUGGUGAAAGCUUGCGGCUUAACCGGGGUAGUGCAUUGGAAACUGUGUAACUGGAGUGCAGGAGGGGAAGGCGGAACUCCAUGUGUAGCGGUGAAAGGCGUAGAUAUAAGGAAGAACACCGGUGGCGAAGGCGGCUUGCUGGACUGUAACUGACGCUGAGGUUCGAAAGCGUGGGUAGCAAACAGGAUUAGAUACCCUAGUAGUC
rnacentral:rRNA from 1 species